CGGGCCGGGCGGUGGGAGGGGAGACAGGGCUUCCUCUGCAGCAGCGGCGGCUUUGGCUUCUCCAGGACAGUGUUUCCAGCUGCAGCAGCUGACCACUUCCCUUUCUAGGGCACAAGCCUGGCUCUAAGAGAAACAGAAAAAACAGAGGGGAGGGAAGCAGACUUCGCCCGCGAUGAGGAAGUACUCUGGAUUGCCCACAGUUCCGUCUGUGCCUGGGUCCAGAGGAGACUUUCACAGCAGACAGCCCCGUGACACACCCACGUGUGAUGAUAUAGUCAUUCUAGGGGGCCUGCAUGGCCAGGGCUGGGCUUGAGGCUCGGGUGUAAGGGCGCUUGCCCAGUUUGCAUGAGCCAAGAGAAGGGCUGGAGAGGGCGUCCACGGCAGACCAAGCCAGUCCUUGUCCUGAUGUGUGCUGGGGUGGCUGGGCCUUCACACAGCACCGAGGGCAGCGGCCCUGCAGUGAGCAGCAGCGACUUGUCCCCCCUGCUGGUCACUCGUGGAAACACUUACAGCCAGCUCUGGCCCCAGCUGGGCAGGUCAGCCCUGAAGGUGACUUCCACCCUCUCUCCAGGCUGCACUCAGCCCUGAGGACACCCAGCUCAAUAAAGGAACGCUGAACUGUGGUCUUCUUCAGGCAGGGACAAAGUGUGUGAAUUUGUUGAAGUGGAGGAGGGACCUCUGGGGAGCUGCCAUCGAAGUAGACAGGAAAAACAAAGGUCAGCAAGGGAGAGUCCCUUGUCCAUGUCCCCUGGCCAUGAAGCAGCGGAGCAGGACUUGAAUUCACUCUGUCCGAACUGUGCAGGUCACUUCGGAGCAAGAAAGCUCUGCAGGCAGGGAGGUGGCACCUAAACCGCGUCUCCUGAGAUAGAAAAAGAAGAAAGGACAUCUGAAGGACGUUGGCUUCUGAAGAAGGAGAAUCUUUGUCAGGAGAGCUUCGCUCAAGUCGCAUCUUACACAGCAUUCUGAUCACAGCCAGGUCAUCUGUAUUUCCUGUGAGACUCGCGGGCAUUUCUAACCAGAGCUCAGUUUUUAGACACAGUGGUAGCUGUCCUUUGAUUUUCCCUGAUGGUGACCUUCUCCCCCUUCUGGUGAACUCAGCAGUCGCCUGAGUUCAGUCCCCGUGGUGUGAGACAGGCUGACCCACCCAGGCCAGCAGCACUCUGGCAGGAGCACUUGGCCGAGGACUUCUGCGCCAGGACUGGAGUGUGCUGCCCUGUAAUCAGAGAGCGCUGCCAUCGCUGAGAGAUCCAGACGCUUGUGCCAAGCACACACAGGCACACAAAUACAGAGACCAAACGGAAGAACACGGAGGACAUGGAGGACUCCGGAAGCACUGGCAUCGAAAUGGCCCUCGUCUGGUUCUAAGUCAGCCUGGUGUUUUCGCUGCCUCCAUCUGGAUCCUCUGCAUGUGGUCCCAGGCGCACCCGUGGGGAGUGUGGCUGCUCACGGGAGCUCACGGGCCAAGCCAGCCUCAGCUGAGAUCACUGCAGGUGGACCGGUCUCCUCUCGCACACUGUCGGUGCAAAGUGGUAGCAGGUAAUAAAGAAAAUUGGCCAGGUGUGGUAACAUAGGCACUCUGGGAGGCUGAGGCAGGUAGAUAGCAAGUUGGAGGGCAGCCUAUGCAAGCUGGCAAGACCCUUCUCAAAAUUUAAAAAAAAAAUGUAAAUCUAGUAAAAACAAUGCAUAGGCAUUUGCUGCCACAACUUCUCUUCCAUGACCUCUCCUGGGCCAGGAACAGGAC
ensembl:lincRNA